AUGUUCAUGUGAACGCGAAACGUUAGGGAGCACUGAAAUCACGGCGCAAGCGGACAAGUCAAGAGGGAUACCUUAUCCAGAGCGCCACAUUUUUGCAGACCCCAAAACAUGUCUCCUGCCUGCGGAUUUCCCAUUUUGAAGAGUGGUGUAGGGAGGGUGUUCGCUUGCCGGGUAGGCUUUGGUAAUGCCUGCCGCAUGGUCUCCAACCAAUCUGCAUGCGGCACUGGAUCCCGCUUCCAUGCUUGGGCUCGCCUGCAGGUAACUGACCGAGGUAUGUAUGUAUGUAUGUAUGUAUGUAUGUAUGUAUGUAUGUAUGUAUGUAUGUAUGUAUGUAUGUAUGUAUGUAUGUAUGUAUGUAUGUAUGUAUGUAUGUAUGUAUGUAUCUAUGUAUGUACGUACGUACGUAUGUGUGUAUGUAUGUACUACAGCGACACAGUGCCAGGCUUUGCAUGCGUAAAGGUGCUCGCAGAGCGCAGGUAAAGAAGUAGUGCCAUUGCCCUAGCAAUCCAAUAGUGCCAUAUUCCUAGCAAGCCAGCCUGCUUGUGUAGUUCAUGUGAAUUCUUGCUUCCGUGCUCGAAAAGGCUAACAUGGAAUGCCUCUUCGCGGUAAGACAACUGCCGAUGUGGAUAAGAUUUGUGACAUUCUCUGUGGGCACGGUGAAACCUAAGGGCCCGUGCGUGUUCGUUCAAGGUCGAUUCAAAUAGGUCGCGAAGCUUCGGCGAAAAGCGGUUCAGAAUCUAUUGCCAACGACACCAGCAAGGGGAAUUAUGGGUGCUGCGAUUGAAGCGCGACUAUAUUUGGAGGGAACAAACACUAAUACCGAAAAACCAAGUUUUAUUCAAGGGCGAAGCAAUCUUGAUGUUUUACAAAUUACAUUUCUUUCGUGAACAAUAUUAUGUAGGUGCAACGUGCCAAAAAUGUAGGAUAGUGUUUAAUUAUUACGAAAAACCUUUUUCUUAGCGCCCCCUGAAGAGAGGCGCACGUCAUUGUUAUUCAGUGCAGCCCUUGCGGUGCAUCGAAAGGCGCGCUCGUAAACUCGUCUGCAACGACACGCCCCCUCACGUGUUCUGGUGUUUCACACUUGCAUGCGUUCUGUGAAUUAUUGUGGUGAGAAUUUCAUUUUGGAGUUGGCGAAGUUGCGAGGUCCGUUUCAUCGUUGGUGAACGUGUUGGCUGCGGUGUUCAACGGGCAACGGCGCGACACGGCUAACAUUUCACGCCGAACGCUUUCCUCGGUACUCGCGGAAACGAUGUGGUGUUCCAAGGAUGCAAUAGCAACACGCGUAUGCCUGGCGAGCCCUCUCUUCUAGAUAAGACACCGGGGCAACGGUUCGGAGUAAGUGUGCUCGCUGGAUUUCAUGUAUCAGUAUUCCUGCUGCCCGGUUUCCUUCGUGAACACGCGGUGCCUACUUUCUUUCCUGCUAUCGGUGAGCAGAUCGCUAAGUUAUCUGUCGCGCUACAAUUCGCAUGUCUUGACACGUUACACGUAUGGUUAAUUUAUCGGAACUUAAGGCAAAACAUAAUGCAUGUAGUGUACGCACUUUUUGUACUUAUUACGACAUUUGUUGCGCAUUGUGUAGGGUGUGAUGAAAUUGCAUUAUUGUGACCAUUGAAUAAAACUGAAAUAUCAUUAUUUUGGAGUGACCAGGAGUCAUUUCUUCUCAUUAGAACUGAAGUACACAUGCAAUGCGCUCUUUAAGUCCCCUGCGCAUGUGCGAAGAACAUCAGCAACGUUGCAAACCUGAGAGGUACGCUGCUGCCUACUUUAUUCACCCUAUGGAAGACGACACGAACGCAGAGUAAAAGCUCCAAGAAUAAGUUUUCCUAGUAAAGCCAAGGCAAAUUGAACGGCGGUACACUUAAACACCGCUGUUUAGUCACGGGUCGAUAUUAGUUUAGCUAGCGUUGGCUUCAAGCGCACUCGCCAAAGGGUUGCCGGCUCGCCGUAGCGCGAGUCCUUAGCGAUCAGGGGCCUAAGAAAAAUGUUUUGAUGUAAAAUUUCGCGCUAGUGAUACUAGUGACAACAAAAUAACGUCAAUUUUUUCCCGGAUAUUGCAUCACAUCUGCUUUAUUUUUUGUUCCGCCGGAAGUGUUCCCUCCUCCCACAGAUGGCGCUAAGCCCCAUGAGCAGCUGAUGAGCCGCCAUUUUCUGAACGUAUGGGCUUCUAUGGAAGCUUCGCUACCAUUUACAUUUCCCUUGGUUCGUGUGCGUUGUUCACAAUAAUGUUUUGUAUGCUUGGGCACCAUUGCACUUUUCGACACCACAUGGCUAUUGGUCAGUAUAGAAAGAGCGCGCGAUUGUGAAUAACGCUACCAAAGUUUUGCCAUUUCGGCUGAUGCAGCGGUGAGCACAUCGAAGACCCGUUUGAUAACGACAUACGAACACAUAGAAAGCAUAGAAUAACAGCGCAAGUAGGCACCUUACGUUAACCUUUUGGAGCAACGUAACGUCAUUUUGUAUGCAAUAGGGAGCGAGGCUUCCUUGCUAGAGAUGCAGCGCUCAGCCGGCGAGAGGCCGCAUGUAGGUUUGUACUACACUACCGACAUGACGUAUGAUAAGCUUCACAUACAAAACAUUUUCUUAACGCUUGUACUUGUUGACAUGGCACAAGUGUGGAUGACUGCUCACAGCCGAAACUGGGAAUUGUGCUCUGACGGAAAAUACACCGUUUCGGCCGUGGGACUGUCCUUCAUUGAAGUUACGCAGACACACAGUGACGUACCACCGCACUUUCGCUGGCUGACAAGCGAUUGAUAAACGCGCUUGUGUGAACAGGAACCGCGAUAUGAUAAAGAAAACGCGGCAAUAGACAUACACGCGUGCGCACUGGCGCAAGUAAAAUAUGUGAAGCCAUAAUAGAUAUGUGCCAUCUGCACGAACAAUUAUCAGUGACAUGUCAUGGCUAGAACGGACAGCAGUAUAUCAAUAAAAGUAAAAGAGCGUGCAAUAGUUGUGGUAAUCCGGAAAUCAAGACAAAUAAUUACCAAACUAAUAUAUGUGUUCGCAGGUGUAACUUUAAUAAACAUUCGUGAACAUGAGAAGAACAUUUAAGAAACUUAAAGGGUAGAAAGAAAAAUUUGCCAGCACUCUCACUCAUACCACAAUUAAGAGCUUUAUAUUUAUGAAGUAAACGCAAAUCUCCAAACUCUAUUUCGUGGUGGGAACGAAAACCGGUUCGAAGGAUAGGAAUAAAAAAAUAAGUGGCCCGAAAUGAGCAUGUGUUUUGAUAGCAGUACAUUAGGAAGAGUGCUAGCAUUUAUGCUGUUCAUGAUCUACAAACAUAAACAUGUGCCGAUCGUUCCCGCCCCUGUUCUUUAUUUCAGUGGCCAAUGACUGGCGGGGGAGGAGGACCAUGCGAUCUUACUACUCAACUCACGCAGAAAGCCUGUAGAAUGCUUGGCCGCGGACAAAAUGAAAACUGCAAGGAAUUUCAGUGAGAAAAACCUCACCAGGGGCCUCAGUCCGGCAGUCUCCAGCGCGACAGCUAUUC